UUGAAUGGCCGCAGUAAUUUGACUGUGCAAAGGUAGCAUAAUCAUUAGUUUUUUAAUUAAAAGCUUGAAUGAAUGGUUGGACGAGGUGGAUUCUGUCUCUAUUUAAUUAAUAUUAGAAUUUAAUUUUUAAGUUAAAAAGCUUAAAUUAUGGUAAAAGACGAGAAGACCCUAUAGAGUUUUAUAAAAUAGUAUAAAGGAUGGAUUUAGAUUUGUUAUAAUUUUUUUUAUGGUUUUAUUUUAUUGGGGUAAUAAGAAGAUUGAAGAAAUUCUUUUGUAUUAUAAACAUAAAUUAAUGAAAUUUAUGAUCCAUUAUUAGUGAUUAAGAGAUUAAAUUACCUUAGGGAUAACAGCGUAAUUUUUUUGGGGAGUUCAUAUUUAUAAAAAAGUUUGCGACCUCGAUGUUGGAUUAAAGGUUAUUUUAGGUGUAGAAGCUUAAAUUUUUGGUCUGUUCGACCAUUGAAUCUUUACAUGAUCUGAGUUCAGACCGGCGUGAGCCAGGUCGGUUUCUAUCUUUAUUUUAUUGUAAUAUUUUAGUACGAAAGGACCAAGUAUUAAAUAUAUUUAUAUUUUGUAUUUUGAAUAUUAAUAUUAUUUUGGCAGAUUAGUGCUAUGAAUUUAGACUUCAUAAAUGUAAGGUUUUACAGAUAAUAUUGUUUUAUUUAGACAUUUUUUUAUCGUUUAUUUGUGUAUUGUUAAUAAUUAUUUGUGUUUUAGU
rnacentral:rRNA from 1 species